AAGUCGUAACAAGGUUUCCGUAGGUGAACCUGCGGAAGGAUCAUUAUUACGAAAUCAAAAAUCGUAACCCCAAACAACAAAUUGUGCAUUUCUGUACUGUUCCGGUAGUUUCAUUUGACCUUUGUAAAGGCUUACUUUGAUGUGCUUGCUUCAAAAACAUGCAUAUUCAAAGCACUUCUGAGCAGAUGAAGUGAACGGGUCUUUUUCGUCGAAUGAUUUCAAACUCCCGGUUAGUAUUAUCUGCUCACACACUUAACAAACCAUUAACCCCAUGUAACUAUUUUGAACUAAAUACAUCUGACGCAUGCAUCUCAUGUAUGUGUCUGAAUCAAAACCGAACUUAAGAACAACUCUUAACAACGGAUAUCUUGGUUCUC
rnacentral:misc_RNA from 1 species